UACGAGAGGCCCAAACGUUAUUCGGAAUUACUGGGCUUAAAGAGUUCGUAGGCGGCAUGAAAAGCAGGGUGUGAAAGCCCUCGGCUCAACCGAGGAAUUGCGCUCUGAACUGUCGUGCUUGAGGAACCUAGAGGUGAGCAGAACAGAUGGUGGAGCGGUGAAAUGCGUUGAUAUCAUCUGGAAUACCGGAGGCGAAGGCGGCUCACUGGGGGUUCUCUGACGCUGAGGAACGAAAGCCAGGGUAGCGAACAGG
rnacentral:rRNA from 1 species